rnacentral:lncRNA from 1 species
GGCGAUGCCGAUGGCGUGGAAAAAGGUGGGCGGGCCGUCGACCGGACCCCCCGAUUCCCGCCACUCCAUCCACUCGGCGUGCAAGGCCACCAUGUCAAACUGGUAGACCUUUUGCAAAGGCGGCGGCGGUGCGUGCUCGCGCCUCUCCAGGUCGAUGGCGGCGGGCGCCAGAGCCGCCAUCUGCAGCAUGCCCACAGGGGGGCCGCGGGCCUGACGCCCGCCUAUGGGUCCGCGACAGUCAAUGGCCACGGCCGCGUCGGUGUGCGACUCUAGCGCGGCGGCGAUCACCUCGGCGCAGGCGUUUGCCGCCGUUUCGAUGGUCCUCGCCAGCGUCACCUCGCAUCGAGCGGCACGCGACACGCGCGUGUCGUCGUCGCUAGCGGCGGGCCUGCUCUCGGCCGCCGCGUCCGGGUCAUCGCCGUCGUCCCGGUCGUCGAGAGGCGCAAAGAGGGCCAUGGCGCGCGUGUGGCCCGUCGGAUACACGACGACGCGCUGGGCAAUCUUUUCGAUACGACCCACCACCUGCGGCACAAAAGAGAGCACGUUGCGCAUGCCCCCGCUGGCGUAGUUGACGGCGUGCACGCGCAGCGACGUCCCGGUGCGUGCAAACACGGUCACGUCCAACCGUUGGAGGUCGAUGCCGUUGCCGCACGUAUAGAGCACGUGGGCGACGGCGGGGGCCACGACGCGCUCCAGCGCGAUGCGCGUGUCCAGAGCCACGGCCACGCGUGGCACGAACCAUGGCGUCAUCAUGCGGCGCACGACAACGGUAUCGCGCGGGAUGUCUCGAAUCAGGAGGCGCGCGUCCUGUCCCGUGCAGCGCACGCCCGAGAGACGCGUAGCGAGUCUCGCCACCUCGGCAAAGGUGAGGCCGUAGGGCCGUUCGACUAGAGCGGCGAUGAGGGCGCUCGCAAAUCGCCGACGUUCUUCGGGCCUCGCGAGCACGUUGGUGCUCGACGGCGCGCGGCUAUACCGAUGCACCACUCUAUUGCUUGUAGUUUUGGUCGAUACGCCUGCGCCAUCGAUCCUACGUGGCUCGGCGUGUUGGUCGGCGGCGCCGAAUUUGUCCUCGCGCUCACCGUCGUUAUGGUCAGUCGGAUGCAAGGCAGUCCCUUUGGUGCGGUCGUUGUCACCAUCGCUGGCGCCGCUGUCUUGCGCAUCGUUAACGAGCGCCGGCUCCGGCGUCGCCGUGGCCACAUCGGCGUCACAGACGGUCACGGCAACCGUAUGUGCAUGGGCCUUAUCGGCGCGAGCGACAUGUCGCCUGGCGUCCCUAUCGGACGGUCUGCGUACAAGUGUGUCGACAAUGGCCGCAGCGAGGGCGGCGACGCUGUCGUCCGGGGCGGUCUCCUGGGGCGGCUCGCUCCUAACGUCGUCGUCGCACGACCUCUCUUUCUUCACCCACAUGCCCUGCUGUCGCCGGGACCCGGCCCCAUUGCGCGUGGACGGUCUGUGCGGGGUUCGCGCCGCUGCAUAGCGGUUCACAGCCGUUGUUGUUGUUGAUGACGGUGGCGUCAACAGUGGAGCCGACGCCGAUACGCUCACGUGGCAGUGCCGACGAUGGCCGGCGCCGCGGCGUGUGUCCAGAGAAAUGCUCAAGAUCGGCUUGCGCGGCGCGGUCGGGGGCGCCCAGUCCUCGUCCGCGUCGCCGUCCCCCAGCGACGGACCUCGCGCAUCCCCUACAAAGGGCCUCGUCCUUGUGGCGGUCGGCGUGGACAUCAUGCGCAGCGUUGACGACAAAGGCAAAAGAACAAAGUAAACAAAGCCGGAGAAAAAAAAAGAAUGAAAGAAGGAGAUGGUCCGGGCAAGAGGUUGCGCAGCGCGCUUGUCUGCCAAAGUUGCAAGAAAAAAAAAGCGGGGACAACCGCGAGGCGCCCGGCGAUGGCAGUGACACCGAUGAAAGCAAUAGAAAAAGAAAAAUCGACAAAGAG